AAUGGCCUUCAGGGAAGGCGUCCGCCUGGACGGGUUGGCGGCUGCUGAGCGCCUCGAGCCGCUGUGACUCGCCUUCCCUCAGCCGGAAAGCGUCCGCCUGCGCCCGCGCGGGAGGAGCGGGUCCUCUGAGGGCAGCGGCGACCCCGCCGGCCCGGUCUCUUUCCCUGGCAGCGGCGGCCUCUUCCGUGGGACAAUAUGUUCAAGAGAAUGGCCGAAUUUGGGCCUGACUCCGGGGGGAGAGUGAAGGGAUGUGUUUGACCAAAUGGGAGAGCAGUUAUAACACACAAACUACCUGGAGACCAAAGCACCGAUUAUGGAAUAUUUCAGAUCAAUAGCCGCUACUGGUGUGAUGACGGCAAAACCCCAGGAGCAGUUAACUCCUGCCGUAUACCCUGCAGUGGCAGAGUGGACAGUGAGAGAGAGAGAGAGACAGAGAGAAAGGUCUUCCUUUACUGUUGAUUCACUCUCCAAUGGCCACUGCGGCCGGCGCUCCGCGCUCAUCCGAAACCAGGAGCCAGGUGCUUCUCCUGGUCUCCAUAUGGGUACAGGGCCCAAGGACUUUGGCCAUCCUCCUCUGCACUCCUGGGCCACAGCAGAAAGUUGGUCUGGAAGAGGGGCAACUGGGACAGAACCUGGCGCCCCUACCGGGACUAGAACCCAGUGUGUCGGCGCCACAAGGCGGAGGAUUAGCCUAUUGAACCGCGGUGCCGGCCUCGUGUUCAUCUUAAAGACAGAAUUCUACUCCUAUCCAGUCUCUUUCCAUGUUCUGCAAAGGUGGGGGUCUUCUCCACAUACUUCCAGGAUUUGGAACGCAAACGGACACUCUGCUUUUGCCCUUGGGAUGCAGCUAUCCUGCCUACUUCUUCAGGAAGAAAGAAACAGCUGAAGCGGGCCUUCUCCUCAAGUUUGCUUCACUAUGAAGAAAUGACUUUGCAAACUGAAGACCUGUUAAUUUGAGACAGGUGUUUGUGAAUUUCUUUGCUGCUUGUUCCAAACAAGAAGGCAACAUAAAUAGCAAGGAUGGAUGACCGAAGGGCUUUCAAAAAAUGUCUUCCAGUUUCAGCCACUAUCAACAGCACAGCUGAGACCAUGGCACUACAUUUCAAAUACAUGUUCUAAUUUGAAAUAAGGAGAGAUGCUAAAAAGUGACACAUAGUGAUGUCUUCAAUCUUGACUCCUCCUGAGACACAGAAUUACUGAAUAAGAACUGAGGUCCAAUGUUGCAAUUAAAUCUUUGAUGUGACAAAAAAGCAUAAAGACGAGAAAUCACGGUUAAUUUUGUAUGUGAAUAAUGUUCAGUUUCUUGUCAAGUGUGCAUAUUUACCUGGGUCUACCCACAUUUUUGGUUGAAAAGAGGAAUUUUUCUUCAAGCUGUUGCUGACUUCUUUUUCAGAAGUCAUUGGAUGGCUGGUAAUUUGUGUUUUUCAUUUCUCUAAGAAGGGACCAGUUUGUGCCACAGCUAGCCCAAUGAACGCAUGCUUCAGUCUAGUCAAAAGGAAAUGGAGGGGCCGGCGCCAUGGCUCACUUGGUCAAUCCUACCCUGUGGUGCCGGCAUCCCAAAAUGGGCACUGGGUUCUGGUCACAGUUGCUACUCUUCCAGUCCAGCUCUCUGCUGUGGCCCAGGAAGGCCGUGGAGGAUGGCCCAAGUGUUUGGGCGCCUGCACCCGUGUCGGAGGCCAGGAAGAAGUACCUGGCUCCUGGCUUCAGAUUGGUGUAGCUCCAGCCAUGGCAGCCAUUUGUAGGGUGAACCAACAGAAGGAAGACCUUUCUCCUCUCUGUCUCUCUCCCUCACUGUCUCACUCUGUCAAAUAAAUAAUUAAAAAAAAAAAAAAACCACAAAAAAAAGGACAUGGAAAGAAAACAAGAGAGUUCUUUGUCCAGGGUAGAGGGCUAUUCACCUCCCUAGGAUGGGAGGCUCUAUGUUACAAGCUGCACCAUCCUUUUUGUGGCGUCUUCCCUGGCACAGCGCAAGUUUUCUAGGUUGCUGAAGAUGGGAGGAAAGUGGGGAUGGGAGGGGGGACAGGCUUCUGUGCAGCCAUGAAGAUGCUCGUUCAGAUGUCUGCAUCCACCAUGGUGCUGGUGUGAGAAUCCGGGUCUUCCCUUCUGCUGCCAGCUGCCUGCUAAUGCGCACCCUGGGAGGCAGAAGCUGAUGGCUCAAGUACUUGCAUCUCUGCCCCCCAUGUGGGAAACUAAGACUGUGUUCUGGCCUCCUGGUUUUGGCCUGGCACACCCCUGGCUAUUGUGGCCAUGUCAGACUGAAUCGGUGUAUAGAAGAUCUUUUCUGUCUCUGUCUCUUUGACCCUUAAAUAUAGUAACUCAAUAAAGGUUUGUAAAAAGUGGGAUGAGUGGUUUUACAGUUCAGAAGAUGUGAUGGAUCCGGUAAGAUAACCUGCCUUCGACUUUGGAUGUAGAAGAAUGGGCGGUUGGGUGGGGGAUGGGAAAGUUUCCAAAUAACACCUUCUCUGAAGAAAAGGAAGCCAAAAUGUUUUAUGCAGUUCCAUCUGACAUUAUGACAUUUUACACUAUAGAGUUCCACUUCUUAUAAAAGAAAAGUAGGCAAAUAAAUAAAUAAAAUGAAGACCACAGACAGACUGAGGCAUUGCUACUUGCUAAAAGGAAAUACACACACAAAGCACUUCAGCCUCCCUUCUGCCCUCAGGAAAGCACAGGAUGCGAAGUGCAAACACUGAGUGAGAUGCUCUGUGCAACAGCAGACACAAACCAUGUUCCAUAUUUGCUUAUUCUAAACCUAAUCUCAAGACACGGCAAGGAACUGGCAGAGUGUGGAUAGUUAGAAACCCUAGAAAUCCCCCAAAUGAGGAAUGAAAGAAUGAGAUUCUGAGUCCAUUAAAAUACAUUGUAUCUUCAAGGAUUUAGGCAAUACACUGUAGAACAGACUCAAAACGACCAUAUUCAGUUCUCAACAGCAUAUUUUGGGCUUAGAAAGUCAUCUCUCAUGUACAAUUUGGGACAUGCUCAAUUGGACUUGCCCCAAAUGGUGGAGUUAGAAACGUGCCAGGGGAUUGCAUUACAAUCCCAUCAAGGUGGCAUGUACUAAUGCCAUUUUACUAGUCCAAGUGAUCAAUUUCAGUUCAAAAUUGAUCACAUUGAUAGGUCUAAGAGUCAAAGGGAUCACAAAACAAGACUAGUAUCUGCUAAUACUAACUGAUAGAAUCAAAAAGGAGAGAACGAUCCAACAUGGGAAGCGGGAUACACAGCAGACUCAUAGAAUGGCAGCUGUCCUGAAUAGCACUCUGGCCUUAGAAUCAGCCCUUAAGGCAUUCGGAUCUGGCUGAAGAGCCCAUGAGAGUAUUGUAGGCAUAGAAAGCCAAGACACCUUGGGAAAAAAAAAAAAAGACCUAAAUGAAAGAUCUCUGUGAGUGAGAUCCCAGUGGAAAGAACGGGGCCACCAAAGAAGGAGGUACCUUUCUCCGAAGGGAGAAGAGAACUUCCACUUUGACUAUGAGCCUGUCGGAAUAAGAUCAAAGUCAGUGAACUCAAAAGGCUUCCAUAGCUUCGGCAACUCAUGACUAGAGCCUAGGGAGAUUACGGACGCCAUAAAGAAUAGUGUCAAAUUGUUAAGUCAGCAACAGGAGUCACUGUGUACUUACAUCUCAUGUGGGAUCUAUCCUUAAAGUGUUGUCCAAUGUGAAGUAAUGCUAUAACCAGUACUGAAACAGUAUUUUACACUUUGUGUUUCUGUGUGGGUGCAAACUGAUGCAAUCUUUAAUUAAUAUAUACUAAAUCGAUCAUCUGUAUAUAAAGAUAAUUGAAAAUGAAUCUUGAUGUGAAUGGAAUG